ACGUCUAAUUAAUUAAGUAAAUAUAUACCUUGGUUUUGUCAAAAUCAAUUUAUCGCAUUUGUAAUAAAAUCUGCAGCGAAUCCAUUUAUUCACAUUGGUAUAAUUGUGUCUCGUCAUUGAGAAUAGAUUUCGACAAGGAUUCACAGGUAGGAAAGAAGGUACUUACUUCCGGUUACUCUCUUUAAUGGUUAGCAGUGAUGUUUACGUGACGCGAUUGCCAAAGAUUCAUUCGACGAUGUUAUUGCCUCCUACGUCGUCGGAACAUCGAUAUUUGCGGUCGUUUCAACCGUGACGAGACUACGAAAAUUUCCAUUCCAUUGGCACAGUUUGGGAUGCAGUUAUCAGAAAAGGCACUGCUCACGCGAAGACUGAUUCGUAUGUUUCACCAAGCUGCCGAUGUCCUCCUUUGUAUUCAUUUCACCUUGGAUCCGUAUAUCUAUGUGCUGUUGAGGAUGCAACGACCACGAUUCCGCCUUUUAAAGCCCAUCUGCAAAUUCUGUUGGCCAGCCAGAAGCCGAUCGAGUUCGUUUACCGGUACCACAGAUCACCAGGGCAGCAGUGGUGAUCCGUCGACUCCGAUCACCGAGGCACCCUCUACGCCCGUCAGCGAGGAACACACUCCUCAAUUAGUAGCGGUUUCGGUCUGAGACAGGCUACAGCGAACGAUCUUCCUGAAACGGCUCAAGAGUCAAGAAGUUAGCCAGGUUUGAGCUAUACGUACUCUUCGAGAUCGUUGGAAGAUCUUCGCUUGGUGCAUUUUUAUCGCGCUGAACUUCGUCAAACUGUAAAUGACUGAAUGAUGCGUCGCAUCGUAUCAAUUGAAAUUUUUACGAUCUUCAUUGCGGCUGGUCUACUGAAAUAUUUAGGACAGCUUUCACUGUUUUUCCAAAUUUUUCAAACAGUCUUCUUCCUAAGGAGAAUCUUCAAAAUCAUUCGUGAAAAGACACCUCCAUAUCUAACUCAUUUUUCAUGUACAAUUUGUAUCGCGUGUUCGCAUUUUUCCUACUUGAUUUUUGCGUCUAUUUUAAAUAAUCUAAACCGCAUCUUAUGAACAACCUGAAUUAUAUGGUAAUUCUAGGAGAGGUGGGCCACGUUUUUAAAAACGGGUAAAAAUCAAAUAUUUUGGAAAUAUACGACAAAAAAUGCUUACUGAUGUGUUCCACAUAUGGCAGAUAGUGUAAGAAAUACUUGUAUGAUCCGUCUCUCCCAGAACUACUCUAUUAUUCUGGUUAUUGAUUUUCUAAUUUGUUUCAAUUCUGCAUUGAAGCUUUAAUGAUCUUUGAGUUGUCUUGAGAAGAGAAUAAGUAGCAUUCCAAAAAAAAAUGAUUAUCCUCGUCAUUUAUUGUUCUAAUAGACGUAUAAUUAUGUGUUAACUUAUAAAAAUAAAAAGCAUCCGUAAAAAUAUAGAAGACUCUACUCGUUUGCAGUUUGCAAGUGAGAGUAAGCAGUCGUUAAUGUAUUAUUCCCUGUUACGAGUGUUUUGGCAGGAAUUGUAAAAACUAUUCAUCUUAAACUUUUCAUUCAACGAAAGUAGAGAUUAUUAUUAAUUUGUUUUAACAAAGGUAUUAAAUAAAAUUGUCCAAGAAUGCAUUAUCCUAAGUGAAUCAACGAUAAAUCAUUUCAAGUUUCAUCAUAUAAACUACUGACAGUUGUAAAUGAAUGUCUAGUCAAUAAAUUAAUGCAAGUGUGCAGUAGUUACAAAAUAGAAGCAUAAUGAAUGGAUAUUUACCAAAGUAUUGAAUGUUAAAAUGUAUUUGCAUUGUACAAUUUACUUCUUUAAAUAGAAUUUAAGAGAGAAGCGAUAUAGUAUAUUUUUUUCUCGGAAAUAUAUACCCUGACGAGAAUACAUAUUGUACCAACAACUUUGUGAUGUACAUAUAACAAACAUUAUUAUAAAUUAUUACUUCAUUAUGGCAGCCGGUGUAAUUAAUAGCUGCAAAUAUAUAUUUACC